rnacentral:rRNA from 1 species
AGCGAACGCUGGCGGCAGGCUUAACACAUGCAAGUCGAGCGGGCCUUUCGGGGUCAGCGGCGGACGGGUGAGUAACGCGUGGGAACGUGCCCUCUGGUUCGGAAUAACUCAGGGAAACUUGAGCUAAUACCGGAUACGCCCUUUUGGGGAAAGGCUUGCUGCCGGAGGAUCGGCCCGCGUCUGAUUAGCUAGUUGGUGAGGUAACGGCUCACCAAGGCGACGAUCAGUAGCUGGUCUGAGAGGAUGAUCAGCCACACUGGGGCUGAGACACGGCCCAGACUCCUACGGGAGGCAGCAGUGGGGAAUAUUUGACAAUGGGCGCAAGCCUGAUCCAGCCAUGCCGCGUGAGUGAUGAAGGCCUUAGGGUUGUAAAGCUCUUUUAUCCGGGACGAUAAUGACGGUACCGGAGGAAUAAGCCCCGGCUAACUUCGUG